CCUCUCUCAAGCAACAGCACCUUGUACUUUUUCGACAGCGUUGCUGCCAAUGGGCAUCCGGCCGUGCCCCCGCCGACAAUGAUGUAGUCAUAUGCUUCAUGCUGGAUUUUGGAGAAACUGCUUGCCUUCCAGAGGGGAGGGAGAUCCGGUGUGGCGGAGUUUCUUCCUGCAAGUUUAAGUGUUUGAUAUUAUUGCCUGGAGCUGCUUGGUUUCAGGUUUCUUUUGGUUAUAAAUAAUUCUACAGGUUGCGAAAAGAAGAUAACUACUAUGAUAAACUAAGAAAAUGUACGCCUGAAUGCAAGAGCUCAGAGCGAACCUAGAUGGCAUAGGUGCACUUAUUACAUGUACAUGGAGCGCCAACUGGCAACAUGUUUGAGUGGUCACAGCAAAGGACUUGUGUGGCACCUGCAAAUUGAGCACAUGAUGGCUGUCUUGUCUUGCUAGGUUGUCCGUCAUUGAAGAAAGCAAUUCGGUUAUGAGAUGAUCACCCAGAAACCAGUGAACUGGACUGUGCACCAGAGCUGAUGGAAGCGUCUUAAAAUCCUCUACGAAUGCUUGUGUGUUUUUUCUUUUUCUUUAGAUGACAAAUGCUUGUGUUAAUACGGUGGUGGUAUCAGUGAGCUAAGCACCGAACAGACAACAUGAGAGGACAGAAAUAGUGAAAUAAUCGAUGUGGUUGAGCUGGGCCUGCUGGCGUUCAUUUAUGGUAGCAACUCGCCAGCAAAUCAUUUAGGCCACACAGUGGAUUUUGAGAUCAUACUGGUGGUUAUGUGGCCGGAGAUCUGAUUCAUGGGUUUCUCACAACAGUGGGCUCUUCUGUAGCCCUAUAGUUUCGUUGGGCGUUUUAUGUGGCCUCAUCAACCGAAUUACUGGAGCAACGACUCACUGAAUAUCUUGUUUUUCUGGAGGUGUGUAGGACAAUUAGGGUUUCGGUCCUGUCCUUCUGCCUUAUCGGCGAUGCCACUCACAAUACAUAUUGUAGUUAGAGGGUGGGACCUACUUAUACCGUCAAUUCUAGAGCUUGA